ACGGGAACUAGCCCGGGUGGUUAGACGUCACCUGUCACCCGAAACCGUCGACAUGCGGGGGGCGAAGUCUGAGGAAGGCUGCGGCAGCUUCCGGGAAGCAGCAUCUUCCGACGUAGAAGCCUCGUCCUAUGAGGUCAACGGCCAGGGACCAAUCCUCCGGAGGGGGGUGAGGCCUGUUGCUGCGGGUACCGGUUCAGGCCCGGAAGGGAGCAGACUUACCGCAGACGUCUGGCGCCCAUGGGGUAGCGGGGUGGAGAAGGGGGGUCUGUAGAACGGAGGUAUGUACAGUCGACCGAUGACGUGUUCCCAA
rfam:Methanomicrobiales archaeon 53_19 MPJ_scaffold_1207, whole genome shotgun sequence.